rnacentral:tRNA from 1 species
UCCUAGAUAGCUCAAGCAGUAAAGAAUCUGCCUGCAAUGCAGGAGACCUGGGUUCGAUUCCUGGGUCAGGAA